UACGGAAGGUCCGGGCGUUAUCCGGAUUUAUUGGGUUUAAAGGGAGCGCAGGCGGACGUUUAAGUCAGUUGUGAAAUACGGCGGCUCAACCGUCGGGGUGCAGUUGAUACUGGACGUCUUGAGUGCACACAAGGAUGCCGGAAUUCAUGGUGUAGCGGUGAAAUGCAUAGAUAUUGCGCAGAACUCCGAUUGCGAAGGCAGCUGACCGGCUUCUAUCUGACGCUGAUGCUCGAAAGUGCGGGUAUCAAACAGG
rnacentral:rRNA from 1 species